AUGGCGAACGGCCACCAAUACCUGGGCCUCCUCAACGCGACAAACGGCACGGCGAGCGACCCCAUCUUGGCGGUCGAGCUCGACACCAUCCUGGACGCCAAGUUUCACGACAUCGACAGCAACCACGUGGGCAUCGACGUAAACAGCCACAUCUCACGGCAGGACAAGCCGGCUGGGUACUACCGUGACGAGGACGGCGCCUUUCAAGAUCUGAGGCUGAACGGCCGCAGGCCGAUGCAGGUGUGGGUUGACUACGACGCCAUGGCCAGGCGACUCGACGUGACAUUAGCACCGGUGCGGGUACUAAAGCCCAAGAAUCCUUUGCUCUCCCAAGUCAUUGAUCUCUCCAUGGUCAUGGCGGGCAAGAUGUACGCCGGCUUCUCGUCUUCGUCAGGUAUCGACUCCAGGCGCCACUAUGUCCUUGGAUGGAGCUUCAGCUUGGACGGCCUGCCCCGACUCUCGACUUCUCCAAACUGUCAGGAUUAA
rnacentral:rRNA from 1 species